AGAGUUUGAUCCUGGCUCAGGAUGAACGCUAGCGACAGGCCUAACACAUGCAAGUCGAGGGGCAGCGGGAUUGAAGCUUGCUUUAAUUGCCGGCGACCGGCGCACGGGUGCGUAACAGGUGUGCAAUCUGUCCAUAGUCGGGGAAUAGCCCAGCGAAAGCUGAAUUAACACUCCAUGUGUCACGAAGCCGCAUGACUUUGUGAUGAAACGCAAGGACUAUGGGUGAGCACGCUUCUGAUUAGGUAGUUGGUGGGGUAACGGCCCACCAAGCCGACGAUCAGUAGGGGUUCUGAGAGGAAGGUCCCCCACAUUGGAACUGAGACACGGUCCAAACUCCUACGGGAGGCAGCAGUGAGGAAUAUUGGUCACCAGCCAAGUCGCGUGAAGGAUGAAGGUUCUAUGGAUUGUAAACUUCUUUUGUCCGAGGGUAAAGGAGGCUACGUGUAGCUUUUUGCAAGUAUCGGACGAAUAAGCAUCGGCUAACUCCGUGCCAGCAGCCGCGGUAAUACGGAGGAUGCGAGCGUUAUCCGGAUUUAUUGGGUUUAAAGGGUGCGUAGGUGGUUUGUUAAGUUUGUGGUGAAAGCGUGCGGCUCAACCGUACCAAGCCAUGAAAACUGGCGAACUUGAGUGCAAACGAGGUAGGCGGAAUGUGAUGUGUAGCGGUGAAAUGCUUAGAUAUGUCACAGAACCCCGAUUGCGAAGGCAGCUUACCAGCAUGCAACUGACACUGAGGCACGAAAGCGUGGGUAUCAAACAGGAUUAGAUACCCUGGUAGUCCACGCAGUAAACGAUGAAUACUAGCUGUUGGCGAUAUAAUGUCAGCGGUACAGCGAAAGUGUUAAGUAUUCCACCUGGGGAGUACGCCGGCAACGGUGAAACUCAAAGGAAUUGACGGGGGCCCGCACAAGCGGAGGAACAUGUGGUUUAAUUCGAUGACCCUUCGGGGCACGAAACUAGGUGCUGCAUGGUUGUCGUCAGCUCGUGCCGUGAGGUGUCGGCUUAAGUGCCAUAACGAGCGCAACCCUUGCCGUUAGUUGCCAGCGGGUAAUGCCGGGAACUCUAGCGGGACUGCUACUGUAAGGUAGAGGAAGGUGGGGAUGACGUCAAAUCAGCACGGCCCUUACGUCCGGGGCGACACACGUGUUACAAUGGUGAGUACAGAGGGUUGCUACCCCGCGAGGGGAUGCUAAUCUCGUAAAACUCAUCUCAGUUCGGAUCGGAGUCUGCAACUCGACUCCGUGAAGCUGGAUUCGCUAGUAAUCGCGCAUCAGCCAUGGCGCGGUGAAUACGUUCCCGGGCCUUGUNNNNNNAAUCGCGCAUCAGCCAUGGCGCGGUGAAUACGUUCCCGGGCCUUGUACACACCGCCCGUCAAGCCAUGGAAGCUGGGGGUACCUGAAGUCUGCAACCGCAAGGAGCGGCCUAGGGUAAAACUGGUAACUGGGGCUAAGUCGUAACAAGGUAGCCGUACCGGAAGGUGCGGCUG
rnacentral:rRNA from 1 species